AACUUUCAACAACGGAUCUCUUGGUUCUGGCAUCGAUGAAGAACGCAGCGAAAUGCGAUAAGUAAUGUGAAUUGCAGAAUUCAGUGAAUCAUCGAAUCUUUGAACGCACAUUGCGCCCCUU
rnacentral:rRNA from 2 species